rnacentral:rRNA from 1 species
UACGAAGGGGGCUAGCGUUGUUCGGAAUUACUGGGCGUAAAGCGUAUGCAGGCGGAUCAUUAAGUCGGGGGUGAAAUCCUGAGGCUCAACCUCAGAACUGCCUUCGAUACUGAUGAUCUUGAGUCCGGGAGAGGUAAGUGGAACUGCGAGUGUAGAGGUGAAAUUCGUAGAUAUUCGCAAGAACACCAGUGGCGAAGGCGGCUCACUGGCCCGGUACUGACGCUGAGAUACGAAAGCGUGGGGAGCAAACAGG